GAUGAAGAACGGUAGCGAAAUGCGAUAAGUAAUGUGAAUUGCAGAAUUCAGUGAAUCAUCGAAUCUUUGAACGCACCUUGCGCCCUUUGGACAUUCCGAAGGGCAUGCCUGUUUGAGUAUCAUGAACACCUCAACUCUCACGGCUUGUCCGUGAUGAGCUUGGACUUUGGGGGUCUUGCCGGCCUGUGGUCGGCUCCUCUCAAAUGGAUCAGCUUGCCAGUGUUUGGUGGCAUCACAGGUGUGAUAACUAUCUGCGCUUGUGGUUUUCCAUCAGAUAACCUUCAGUGAUAUGGAGGUUCGCUGGAGCUCACAAAUGUCUCUCCUUAGUGAGGACAGCUCUUUGAACGUUUGAUCUCAAAUCAGGUAGGACUACCCGCUGAACUUAAGCAUAUCAAUAAGCGGAGGA
rnacentral:misc_RNA from 1 species